rnacentral:misc_RNA from 1 species
UACGGAGGGGCCUAGCGUUGUUCGGAAUUACUGGGCGUAAAGCGCGCGUAGGCGGACUGGAAAGUUCGGGGUGAAAUCCCGGGGCUCAACCCCGGAACUGCCUUCAAAACUAUCAGUCUGGAGUUCGAGAGAGGUGAGUGGAAUUCCGAGUGUAGAGGUGAAAUUCGUAGAUAUUCGGAGGAACACCAGUGGCGAAGGCGGCUCACUGGCCAGAUACUGACGAUGAGGUGCGAAAGUGUGGGGAGCAAACAGG